UACGUAGGGUGCGAGCGUUGUCCGGAAUUACUGGGCGUAAAGGGCUCGUAGGCGGCCAACUAAGUCAGACGUGAAAUCCCUCGGCUUAACCGGGGAACUGCGUCUGAUACUGGAUGGCUUGAGUUUGGGAGAGGGAUGCGGAAUUCCAGGUGUAGCGGUGAAAUGCGUAGAUAUCUGGAGGAACACCGGUGGCGAAGGCGGCAUCCUGGACCAACACUGACGCUGAGUGAGCGAAAGCCAGGGGAGCAAACGGG
rnacentral:rRNA from 1 species